rnacentral:lncRNA from 1 species
CAGAAUAUUUUGGCCUAAUACCAUCUCGAACACCAACCUACUAAAAAUGACAGAGUCGUCAUGUAUAAUCGACGAGAUAACACAGAAGCGCUUCCGGUGGCUUGGACAUGUUUUGAGAAAGGAAAACUCAAGCAUAACAAAAACAGCCCUUAGAUGGACACCACAGGGAAAGAGACCAAGAGGACGUCCCAAAACAACAUGGCGGAGGACAAUAGAGAAUGAAUUAAAAGACCUAAAGAUGACAUGGGGAGAGGCAGAAACAAUGGCAAAG